CCACGCCGUAAACGAUGGAUACUAGGUGUAGGGGGUAUCAACUCCCCCUGUGCCGCAGUUAACACAAUAAGUAUCCCGCCUGGGGAGUACGGUCGCAAGAUUAAAACUCAAAGGAAUUGACGGGGGCCCGCACAAGCAGCGGAGCAUGUGGUUUAAUUCGAAGCAACGCGAAGAACCUUACCUGGACUUGACAUCCCUUGCAUAGCCUAGAGAUAGGUGAAGCCCUUCGGGGCAAGGAGACAGGUGGUGCAUGGUUGUCGUCAGCUCGUGUCGUGAGAUGUUAGGUUAAGUCCUGCAACGAGCGCAACCCUUGUUAUUAGUUGCUACCAUUAAGUUGAGCACUCUAAUGAGACUGCCUGGGUAACCAGGAGGAAGGUGGGGAUGACGUCAAAUCAUCAUGCCCCUUAUGUCCAGGGCUACACACGUGCUACAAUGGUAGGUACAAUAAGACGCAAGACCGUGAGGUGGAGCAAAACUUAUAAAACCUAUCUCAGUUCGGAUUGUAGGCUGCAACUCGCCUACAUGAAGCUGGAGUUGCUAGUAAUCGCGAAUCAGAAUGUCGCGGUGAAUACGUUCCCGGGCCUUGUACACACCGCCCGUCACACCAUGAGAGCUGGUAACACCCGAAGUCCGUGAGGUAACCGUAAGGAGCCAGCGGCCGAAGGUGGGAUUAGUGAUUGGGGUGAAGUCGUAACAAGGUAGCCGUAGGAGAACCUGCGGCUGGAUCACCUCCUUUCUAAGGAGA
rnacentral:rRNA from 1 species